rnacentral:rRNA from 1 species
CUUCUUCCCACUUCUUUUGGGACCGUUCUCCUCGUCGUGGCUGUGGGGGCCGUGUUAAGUAGGUGCAAGAGGCAGAGGUUAGACGUAGAGGUAGGGGUUCGUCUCGUUGCGCGGCAGUGCGAGUGCGGCAUAUUUGGGGGCAGCGGGAGGGAGCGCACUGGGCGCAGGGGGAGGUAGAGGCGGGGGCGGCGGGGUCUAGGUGGCUGUGGGGUGGGGGGAGGGGAGGGGGCGGCUGCGGUGACGGCGGGGUGGGGGUCUAGGUCUAGGCCGCCGGUACCGGUACCGGCGCCGGGCGGGCGCGGAGGAGGAGGAGAACGAGCGGCGCCGCCGCCGCCGCGAGGAGGAGCGGGGCCGGGUGCGGAAGAUGGAGGGCCCCUCGAUGGGCGUGUUCAUGCGGGGCCCCCUCGGCGACUCGCAGUUCCACUUGAGCGAGUGGAGGUAGCUGUGGCUCUAGGGGAUGUCGAUGAUGUCGGACGGGAAGACGCGCGGCGGCCUCCCCCAGUUCCUGUCGCGGCUCUUGGAGCCCCUCGACGAGUACCCGCUGGCGUAGCUCUCGAGCGGGAUGGCGAAGUCCUACGUGCGGUUGCUCAGCCUGCACGACGAGACGGCGAGGCGGGGGGAGAGGGGCGGCCUGAAGCGCGAGGAGUUCGCGGCGUAGCUGCUCUACAUGGUCCAGUUGGAGUAGGAGCUGUUGGAGGGGCGGUAGGCGAUGUGGGCGUUCCUGCUGAUGAAGGACGCGACCUGCCCCAUGGGGCAGCCGUAGGCGCAGCCGCAGCUGAUGAUGCAGAAGUUGGUGGAGGUCAAGUGGCACGAGCACGUGGCGAUGCUCCUGGGGUUGCAGCGGGCGCAGUACCCGCGGCGGCGGCUGCGGAGGCUGCCGCGGCGGCAGGGGCGGUUGCGGCCGUCCCUGCGGAGGCGGCGGGGGCCGACCUACCAGCAGCCGAAGCUCCAGCACGGGACGUCGUAGUUCGUGUUGGGGCUCCUGCGGUCCCGGGAGUUCUACAUGCCUUUUAAGGGGUCGUUCUAGUUCACGCUGGGGAGGUGGCAGAGGUACUCGUAGUUCCUCUUGCUCGGGUAGCAGAUGUGGAUGCUCCAGAGGAAGCAGCUCUCGCUGUAGUUCACCGGGAGGUCCACCCUGCGGAUGGAGUUCUACCUCCCGCGGUUCCACGUGACCAAGAGGUAGGAGUUGAGCGAGUACCAGUAGCGGAAGGAGCGGCCGUAGCAGAAGCAGUAUGACGAGUCCUGGCAGUCCGCGCUAGAGUGCUCCAUGCUCCUCGAGCUGUCACUCCGCGUCCGGGUCUACUUGCUCCUCGACAGGCCCACCUUCGAGCAGCAGUCGCUACAGAAGGCGCGCGGGUCGUUGGGUUACGACGAGACGUACUACCAACCCCUACCCCAAGUCUAGGACCCUUACCGGCACCAGUGGUAGGACAAACGGCGCGAACCCAAGUACAGCGGCCGGAGGGCACCAUGGGAGUAGUGUCCGUACGAGAAGAAGAUGGACCAGGAGCCCUAGGACCGUCCUAUGCGCUCACAGGCGCAGACCUUCUGUUAGUCCACACCUCUAGUGAGCCCGACCCACCCACAAAGUACCUCCUGUCGGACGAAGAAGGGACCGUAGCGCAAGGACUAGGAGUGGUGUGAGUUGAAGGACGACACCCCUUCGGUCUCGUGGCCCCGGUAGGGGAAGAGCGACAAGCAACACGACUAGGACGAGACCAAGACGUAGAGACACGGCGAAUGUGAGCACCCACCCAAGGAGCCACGGUUCCGCGGCGUGUAGCUCAUGGGUCAGGCGUGUUUGGUCUAGGGCGCACUCUAGGGACGAGUCUUCAUGGGCAGGACCGACGACCAAGAGCCGCGGCCGUGCGACGGGAAGCCGUGGGACAAGUAGCUCGAGAAGAAGUAGUACAGUUCGUAGACCUACCCCGCGCACAUGAUGCAGAAGCCCAAGGAGAAGUAGCACUACGACGAGGACCAGUAGCAGACGCGGCUCCAGAGGGACCAGGACUGGAUGUACGUGGAGACGCACCUCCUGACCUUCACCACCACCUUCAGCAAGAAGAGCAGGCCCAGGCACCGGUAGAUGUAGAAGGAGAUGAGCUAGUUGAUGGACCACAAGCUGGAGUUCUCGGACUCGCCCGGCCACAGCCGCUGCGAGAUGGAGCCGAUGAGCGAGAAGUACCAGUAACGGUAGUACGACCGGUGCCCGUGCCAGCCCAAGUAGAGGAGGAAGACGAAGCACGUGAUAGAGAAGAGCAGACACUUCCGGCUAAUUCAAGGAGGACGGACGCUCCUCGCUGGUAACUUAACUCUCCACUCAUUCGUAUCACCUCACCCGUAACCUUUCUCAAACAUCAGUAGUAGUGUCAGGAUCAAGUAGGUAGGGUUGAAAACCAUAUGUACAGGACUUAUUGAUAAACAUACCAGAUUCAUCCUAAGCGGGCGCCACCCGAAAUACUACUCCACGUCCGUCGAACGUGCUACAUUAUCUUACUUAACCAAAUAAGUGUAAAUGACGGUAAAAUCGACUAGUAAGACGGUAAAUCAUGAGAUAUAUACUUACACGUUCGAAUCAUCACCAAAUAAAGGUCAGUAAAUAAACUUUACAGUAUCCAGUUCAACAAAUGUACGACGGUCUCAGGAGACGAUCAAUCACGGCUG